rnacentral:rRNA from 1 species
CCUACGGGAGGCAGCAGUAGGGAAUCUUCCACAAUGGACGAAAGUCUGAUGGAGCAACGCCGCGUGAGUGAAGAAGGGUUUCGGCUCGUAAAGCUCUGUUGGUAGUGAAGAAAGAUAGAGGUAGUAACUGGCCUUUAUUUGACGGUAAUUACUUAGAUAGUCACGGCUAACUACGUGCCAGCAGCCGCGGUAAUACGUAGGUGGCAAGCGUUGUCCGGAUUUAUUGGGCGUAAAGCGAGUGCAGGCGGUUCAAUAAGUCUGAUGUGAAAGCCUUCGGCUCAACCGGAGAAUUGCAUCAGAAACUGUUGGACUUGAGUGCAGAAGAGGAGAGUGGAACGCCAGGUGUAGCGGUGGAAUGCGUAGAUAUAUGGAAGAACACCAGUGGCGAAGGCGGCUCUCUGGUCUGCAACUGACGCUGAGGCUCGAAAGCAUGGGUAGCGAACAGGAUUAGAUACCCCAGUAGUC